UUUUCAAAGAACAUUUAAUCACAGAAACUUUCAAAAUAUUUUGUACAUUGAAUAGAUCCGAUCACCAAGCAGUGCAUAGAGUAGGAUCCUAACUUUGUAAAAUAUCCAUAUGUCAUAUAUAAAGAAAGACAAAUGUAUAUGUGCCAAGUAAGAAGACUGGAAGGAAUUAUGAACAGUGGUUAUCUCUGUGAUUGAUUAUGGGUGUUUGUAUUCUGGUUUUUGUUAUUUUCAAAAUUUUCCCCAGCACACAGAUAACAUUUUCUUACGUGAGAAAAAAUUUUUUUUAAAAAGCAGGGGGUGGAGAGCGGCAACUGUUUGCUCAAGACUUUUCAGUAAGGAAAGGAACCUGGGGUAGAAAGCUCCCCCUUCAGCUGCCCAUGAGGGCACAGGUGGGCCCCACACUCACUACGGGGCCAGGGCAGGGCCGCACACCUGCCACUUCCUCAGCAGAGACCCUAGCGCGUGGGUCACUGCUGGCCCAGACUCCUUCCACGAGCAGGCGAGUGUGCAGGGCCACACCUCAUCCAAGAGAUGAUCACGUUUAGGUUUUUGAUGAAAAGCAUAGCUCUCAGGUAAAUACAGCAGCACCUCUAAGCAUAUUCUGGGAGGAGUGGGUUUUAUGAGGAAGGCACACAAGGAACGCCCAAAUUUGCAAGUCCCUUUAAAAUGAGCCUGCUCAGAAUUGCUGUUUAUUCCACAGGUCUGCGCAGGCAUGGCACUAAGUGUCCCAUGGCACAUUUGGCCCUCAUGGAGGCCUCAAAAGGGCAGGACCAGCACCCUCUUCUACGGAGGAAGGAACGGGCACAGCAGAAACAAGGAGAGUCAGCAAUUACCAGCCAGCCAAGGUCCUGGAAGCUGACGUAGAGCUCGUGCCGACGGCAGACCUGCCGGCCGUGGGAGCCGCGGACGUCAUCUGCAGGGACAGAAGGGGCAAGGUCUUUUCUGGGGUUCCUGCUGUGUGCAGCUACUAUGGGGUACCAGGGUGGGGGAUGCCCUGAUGAGCACAUUUGUCAAAUAAAUGAAUGACAGGAAACCAUUUGGUCUCAUAAAGCCCAUCCCUGGAACGCUGCUUGUACCAUGACCCAGCUCAAAAGCCUGCCAUGGCUCCCAAUGGCUAGAGUGACACUGUGCCCAGUCCUCCCCUGUCCUUCAGCCUAUGAGCGUCUUUAUGCUCCAGUAAACAGCCCAGCAGGACCCUCGGCCAUCCUGUGCCUCCUCCUCUCUGGAGACCCCUGUGACUCCAGCCCACCCUCUCCUGCCACACCCAUUCCCGAGGUUCAAGUGGCUCACGACCAGGCCAGUCAAGGGCCGACUCCCUGGUGAAGGAGGGCACGGGGUUGGGUCAGGCCUGUCCCUGAUCCUGAAGGGCUUGGCCCAGUUGGGGAGAAAACUCGCAUAAGCAACCGAGGAUCCCACAGGGUGCCCAGGCACAACCGCAGGUCAUGAGGGGCUGCGGCUCCCAGGGAAGGGGCAGCUGAUUCUGAAGGAGGCUCCUGAGAAAGACCCGGAGGAGCCAGGGGGAGAGAGGGAGACUUCUGGGCAGCAGGGACAGCCAGGACAGGCCUCCGGAGUGCCGGUCACCAGGGUGCAUCAGGGCCAAGAUGGUGUCAGGAAAGGUGGCUGGAGAGUGGCCGUCAGCUUGAACCGACCUGAGCCUGAGGGCUCUGGGCCACCACUUGGUUCUCGCCCUGCCUCUCU
rnacentral:lncRNA from 1 species